AUCCCCAGCAAUGGGCAAAGAGAUACUUUGUUGGUGGUAUUCUUAUAUCAUCCAGGGGGAGAGCAGAUGGCGUCCUUUGUUCAUCUAACCAUCAUGGUGAGCAAAGAUGUUUUAUGCCUAGGACUCAUAA
ensembl:snoRNA LOC120099478 small nucleolar RNA SNORA48